AACGUACGCUGGCGGCAUGCCUAACACAUGCAAGUCGAACGAGACCUUCGGGUCUAGUGGCGCACGGGUGCGUAACGCGUGGGAACCUGCCCUUAGGUUCGGAAUAACUCCCCGAAAGGGGUGCUAACACCGGAUAAUGUCUUCGGACCAAAGAUUUAUCGCCUUUGGAUGGGCCCGCGUUGGAUUAGCUAGUUGGUAGGGUAAAAGCCUACCAAGGCGACGAUCCAUAGCUGGUCUGAGAGGAUGAUCAGCCACACUGGGACUGAGACACGGCCCAGACUCCUACGGGAGGCAGCAGUGGGGAAUAUUGGACAAUGGGCGAAAGCCUGAUCCAGCAAUGCCGCGUGAGUGAUGAAGGCCUUAGGGUUGUAAAGCUCUUUUACCCGGGAUGAUAAUGACAGUACCGGGAGAAUAAGCUCCGGCUAACUCCGUG
rnacentral:rRNA from 1 species